UACGUAGGGUGCGAGCGUUAAUCGGAAUUACUGGGCGUAAAGCGUGCGCAGGCGGUUGUGCAAGGCAGAUGUGAAAUCCCCGGGCUUAACCUGGGAACUGCAUUUGUGACUGCACGGCUAGAGUGUGUCAGAGGGGGGUAGAAUUCCACGUGUAGCAGUGAAAUGCGUAGAGAUGUGGAGGAACACCGAUGGCGAAGGCAGCCCCCUGGGCUAACACUGACGCUCAGGCACGAAAGCGUGGGGAGCAAACAGG
rnacentral:rRNA from 1 species